GGAAGGCGAGUGCCGGAGGGGGCGGGACAGCUCCUCCGGGGCCAGCGGGCACCAGGCUUGGGGGCUGAGGCCCAGCGGCCCGAGACCAACUGGGCUGACCGAGGCCGCCUCCCCGCCAGCCCUGGGGUCCACUGCCCGGGGAGCAGCUCCCUUCCCAGGUCAGACUCGGGCUUCAUCCUCUCUUGCCGCGCGCCGAGCGGUUUUCAACUCUCACUGCUAGAAUUCCUCCAACCACCCAGGAUAGCAGGACCGAGAUACAUGGCCACCCAUGACCCGGAGCGUCCACUUCCAGGGACAGGCAGUGGUGAUUGGCUUCGGUUGUCAUCUGUGCCAUCUGUCCAUGGUUCGAGAAGCUGCUGUUCACGUUUUGGGGAGGAUCAUGGUUUGAGGGCUCCCGUGGUAGAAUUUGGGGAGCUCUCAUAGGCAGAAGGCUGAGAAAAGUUGGUGCUGUGGGAAGUCAACUGGCAGCCGAUGGAGUCGGGACCCGGGAGGAAUGGAAAGGGAACCCAGAUAGGAAGCUACUGCAGUAGGCUCAGAGAGGUGAUGACGGCAGGGCUAAGACAGCGGCCUUGGGCGGUGACUGGGAAGAACGUUGAACACCGUGUUUGGGCUGAAGAAAAGAGCAAGGGAAGAGUUACAGGGCUUUGACUCCUGAGUCUGAAAAAGGCACAGAUUCCUGCUAAAUCUUGAACACUGACGCCAGUCAAAGCCUCAUCUUCAGACCUGGGAGAAGGUGACAAUCGAAAUGAAAUGCUUUCAUGAGACGCAGGGCCAGUAAUUACAAGUAUUCAAUCCCCCUAGGCCCAGGGACUAUCGCGGAAGAGCGGCUUACAGUCAACUACAGUCCAAAAUUUGCUCCUUGGAAGACUCCUGAAUGCAGGUUUCUGAUGAUGUCAGAAAGACUGUGCUGUUGGAUUAGACAGAAAACUUCUAGGACUCUAAUUAAAAGGCUGAUGUGGUCAUAAAGAUUGCUAACCCAGUAUGAAGCAAAACAAGAGUUAAUUGCAUGGACUGAGCUAAUAGAGGACUGAACUGAUUCUUUUGUGGCUUUUUUGGUUUGAAACAUUGCUGAUUCUUUUUGUUGUUCAGUGUCAAAUUUUUUUUCUCUUGAGCUAUUUGUAGCCCUUAACAAUUGAGUAUACUCUUGUAAAUAAAAUUUAAAGCAGA
ensembl:lncRNA LINC02175 long intergenic non-protein coding RNA 2175